rnacentral:rRNA from 1 species
AGAAAAGCUACUAAGGGUAUAUGGUGGAUAUCUUGGCAGUAAGAGGCGAAGAAAGACGUGUAAUAGGCUGCGAUAUGUCUCGGAGAGUCGUCAAAUAGGCAUUGACCCGGGAAUUUCUGAAUGAGGUAACUCAUCUAGUUGAGAAACUAGAUACCGUGUGGUGAGAAACUAGCCACGCUGGAGCUAACCGAGGGAACUGAAACAUCUAAGUACCUCGAGGAAAAGAAAUCAAUUGAGAUUUCGCUAGUAGCGGCGAGCGAACGCGAAAUAGCCCAAACCGAUAUAUUUAUAUAUCGGGGUUGUAGGACCUUUAUACGGGUAAGCAAUAUUAAGAGAACAGUUUGGGAAAGCUGACCAUAGGGAGUGAAAGUCUCGUAUCGUAAAAUAUUGUGAACUAUAAGGUAUCCUGAGUAGGACGGAACACGAGAAAUUUUGUCUGAAUCUGGGUCGACCACGAUCCAAGGCUAAAUACUACUUACUGACCGAUAGUGAAGCAGUACCGUGAGGGAAAGAUGAAAAGAACCCCGAUAAGGGGAGUGAAAUAGAACUUGAAACCAUAUACUUACAUACAGUGAAAGGGCUAUUGUAAAGCCUGAUCACGUACCUUUUGCAUUAUGACUCAGCGAGUUACGGUGUGUAGCAAGGUUAAGCCGUAAGGUGUAGCCGUAGGGAAACCGAGUCUUAAUAGGGCGAACUAAGUUGCAUGUCGUAGACCCGAAACGGGAUGAGCUAGCCAUGAGCAGGUUGAAGCGUGGGUAAAACCACGUGGAGGACCGAACCCGUUAAGGUUGAAAACUUUUGGGAUGACUUGUGGCUAGGGGUGAAAGGCCAAUCAAAUUCCGUAAUAGCUGGUUCUCUCCGAAAUGCAUUUAGGUGCAGCGUCUAGUAUAACUGACGGGGGUAUAGCACUGAAUUGGCUAGGGGGCUUACCGGCUUACCAAACCAUAUCAAACUCAGAAUACCGUCAAGUUUAAGCUAGGCAGUGAGACUGCGGAUGCUAAGGUCCGUAGUCGAAAGGGAAAGAGCCCAGACUAUCAGCUAAGGUCCCUAAAUCGUCGCUAAGUGGUAAAGGUUGUGAAACUACCUAGACAUCCAGGAGGUUGGCUUAGAAGCAGCCACCCUUUAAAGAAAGCGUAAUAGCUCACUGGACUAGUGGUUUUGCGCCGAAGAUUCAACGGGGCUAAGUGACGUACCGAAGCUAUAGAUUAAUUUAUUAAUGGUAGGAGAGCAUUGUGUAUGCUGAUGAAGCUGUACCGGCAAGGAGCAGUGGAGGUAUCACAAGAGCUGAUGCUGAGAUGAGUAGCGAUAAGGGAAGUGAGAAUCUUCCCCGCCGAAAAUCUAAGGGUUCCUGGGCCAGGUGACUCCGCCCAGGGUUAGUCGGAUCCUAAGGUGAGGCCGAAAGGCGUAAUCGAUGGAUAACAGGUUAAUAUUCCUGUACUUAGUAUUGAUCGUUUGACUUGAAGGAGUGACGGAAAAAGGUAGUGAGGCCAACUGUUGGAUGUUGGUUUAAGCGAGUAGGUGGGUGUCUUAGGCAAAUCCGGGACGCUAUUAACACUGAGACGCGAAUACGUGGCGCAAGCCUGAAGCUCAUGAUCCUCUGUUCCCUAGAAAAGCUUCGCGAGAAGAUUAAUAUUAAUCCGUACCGUAAACCGACACAGGUAGAUGAGAAGAGAAUUCUCAGGCGAUUGGGUAAACUCCAGUUAAGGAACUCUGCAAAAUGGUGCCGUAACUUCGGGAGAAGGCACGCCUUUGUUGGUGCGAUCACUUGCUGAUCAAGCUGAUAGAGGCCGCAGUGAAAAGGGGGUAGCGACUGUUUAUCAAAAACAUAGGUCUCUGCAAACUCGCAAGAGGAAGUAUAGGGACUGACGCCUGCCCGGUGCUCGAAGGUUAAAAGGAGAGGUUAGACUUCGGUCGAAGCUUUGAAUUGAAGCCCGAGUAAACGGCGGCCGUAACUAUAACGGUCCUAAGGUAGCGAAAUUCCUAGUCGGGUAAGUUCCGACCUGCACGAAUGGCGUAACGACUUCCCCACUGUCUCAACUGGAGACCCAGCGAAAUUGGAGUGCGCGUGCAGAUACGCGCAACCCGCAGAAGGACGAAAAGACCCCGUGAACCUUCACUGUAGCUUGGCAUUGGUUUUUGGUUAACGAUGCGUAGGAUAGGUGGGAGAUGUUGAUCUAUGCGUUCUGGCGUAUAGGGAGUCAUCCUUGAAAUACCACCCUUCGUUAACUAGAAUCCUAACCUACUAUCAUAAUCUGGUAGGGGGACAAUGUCUGGUGGGCAGUUUGACUGGGGCGGUCGCCUCCUAAAGAGUAACGGAGGCGCGCGAAGGUUCCCUCAAGCCGAAUGGAAACCGGCUGUAGAGUGUAAACGCAUAAGGGAGCUUAACUGCAAGACAGACGAGUCGAGCAGAUACGAAAGUAGGCGUUAGUGAUCCGGUGGUUCCGUGUGGAAGGGCCAUCGCUCAACGGAUAAAAGGUACUCCGGGGAUAACAGGCUGAUUCCAUCCAAGAGUUCACAUCGACGAUGGAGUUUGGCACCUCGAUGUCGGCUCAUCACAUCCUGGGGCUGGAGCAGGUCCCAAGGGUUAGACUGUUCGUCUAUUAAAGUGGUACGCGAGCUGGGUUCAGAACGUCGUGAGACAGUUCGGUCUCUAUCCUCUGUGGGCGUAAGAAGUUUGAAUGGAUCUGUCCUUAGUACGAGAGGACCGGGAUGGACAAACCUAUGGUGUAUCGGUUGUGGCGCCAGCUGCAUCGCCGAGUAGCUAAGUUUGGAAGGGAUAACCGCUGAAAGCAUCUAAGUGGGAAGCCUACCAUGAGAUAAGACUUCUAUUAAGGUAGCUUGUAGACGACGAGCUUGAUAGGUCAGGAGUGUAAGUGCAGCAAUGUAUUGAGCGGACUGAUACUAAUAUACCGUUUUGCUUUUUUUU